ACCCAAUGGUGGUUGGGCUUCGGGUCACGUGACGACUUCUUUGUAGCUCCGGAAGAGAACUGUGAAGUUUAGGAGAAUUGCCAGGAAAGAAAAAUCAAGAUUUGGGGGAAUUAACCACAUAGAAGGAAGGUGUGUUAACUUGGGCGCUUCUUGGAUUCUACCCUGAGGAGGAGGCGCAUGGUGAGAGGAGAGAUCUUGAUCUGCCGCUCGCUGAGGUUCAGCAAGUUGGCCAUCUCCACGCGGCGCGGCCGGCACAGGUAGCGGUUGAAGUGGAACUCCUUCUCCAGCUCCACCAGCCGCGCGCUCGUGUACGCCGUCCGCGCCCGCUUGGAGGCCGCAGACCCCGGGGGGCUCUUGUCCCCUCCCCCGCCGCCACCCCCGCUGCCNNNNNNNNNNNNNNNNNNNNNNNNNNNNNNNNNNNNNNNNCCGCCUCCGCCGCCGCAGCCCUCCGCUGGACCCGAGGGGGAGGGGUGGGAAGGGGAGAAAAUGAAAUAAAAGAUAAUUACUGAACACGCCGAAAUUGAAUGCAUCGUUUCUUAAUAAAUCCAGGCCCGGACUCGGGAGGCCCCGCCGCCCCCCCCCCCCCCCCCCUCUCCCCUGCCCCCCGCCCCCACCCGCCGCAUUAGCGGACACUCUAUAAUAGUGGCAUUUAUUAAGAGACCUGUUCUCCUCUCACUGCCCCAGCUUAUGAAAAUUUGAUCAUGUCACGCAGACAGAGCCGCAUGGCCAUUUAUUUAGGGCUGGAUUUUCUCGCACACGCUUUCUCCCCCCUUAUCCCUAGUUCCAGGUGUAGAAGACACUCCUCCGCCCUCCACCGCGCCAGGUCCUGUGGCCCAGACAGGUGCUUGAGGAGAACUCCUGGGCGAGUCUGGACAUUCUGGGCAGG
rnacentral:lncRNA from 1 species